CCCUGGAGUCCGGGCGACGUCACCCCUGUGCUGGGACCCUGUAGCUUUUAUGGGGAACCAGCAGCCAGGCUUUUUCUGGUUCACAGAUUAGGAGGUGGCGGUCUCCCGCAAUGAUGCGGGGAUCAAGAUAUAAUCGGUCUCCAUGGCUUACGACCAUGGAUGAAAACCGUUCCGUAGGUGAACCUGCGGAAGGAUCAUUAUCGAGUUAGGGUCCCCUGGGCCCCAUCUCUAACCCUUGUCUAUUCUACCAUGUUGCUUUGGCGGGCCCGUCCCUAACCGGACCGUCGGGGACUCACCGCCCUGGCCCGUGCCCGUCAGUAGCCCCCAUAAAUUCUUUCAUCAUGAUGUCUGAGCACAACUAUAAUAACUAAAACUUUCAACAACGGAUCUCUUGGUUCUGGCAUCGAUGAAGAACGCAGCGAAAUGCGAUAAGUAAUGCGAAUUGCAGAAUUCCGUGAGUCAUCGAAUCUUUGAACGCACAUUGCGCCCUUUGGUAUUCCGAAGGGCAUGCCUGUUCGAGCGUCAUUAUCAGCCCUCAAGCCCGGCUUGCCGUUGGGUCUCGUCGGUGAGAUAUCCGGUGGAUCCAAAAGAUAAUGGCAGAGUCCGUGGGGACCCUGGAUGCAGCGAGCUCUUCGGCACGCGUCUGGAUGGUCUUUCGGCUCGGCCUUGACCAGUUUAUUUUUCAGGUUGACCUCGGAUCAGGUAGGGAUACCCGCUGAACUUAAGCAUAUCAAUAAGCGGAGGAAAAGAAACCAACAGGGAUUGCCUCAGUAACGGCGAGUGAAGCGGCAACAGCUCAAAUUUGAAAUCUGGCUCCUCUGGGGGUCCGAGUUGUAAUUUGUAGAGGAUGCUUCGGGCAAGGCUGUGGUCUAAUUUGCUUGGAACAGCAAGUCAUAGAGGGUGAGAAUCCCGUCUGGGAUCGUACGCCGCGUCCACGUGAAGCUCCUUCGACGAGUCGAGUUGUUUGGGAAUGCAGCUCUAAAUGGGUGGUAAAUUUCAUCUAAAGCUAAAUAUUGGCCAGAGACCGAUAGCGCACAAGUAGAGUGAUCGAAAGAUGAAAAGCACUUUGAAAAGAGAGUUAAACAGUAUGUGAAAUUGUUGAAAGGGAAGCGCUGGCAAUCAGACUUGUGUCUGACGGUUCCCCCGGCCUUCUGGCCGGGUUACUCCGUUAUGUCCAGGCCAACAUCGGUUUGGGUGGUCGGUGAAAGACCCCGGGAAUGUAUCUACCCUCGGGUCGACUUAU
rnacentral:rRNA from 1 species